CCUGCCCCUAGAGGCAUUGCAGGUAUGGCUGCUGUGUCCACAUGUGCAUCAGUAGGUGGCAGAAAGGAGAGACGUUAUGUAUAUGCUCAGUGUUCUGACCUAUGAACAUCUGAAUGAUUAAUAGCCUAACUCU